rnacentral:rRNA from 2 species
AGAUGGUUUCGGCUAUCACUUACAGAUGGGCCCGCGGUGCAUUAGCUAGUUGGUGAGGUAACGGCUCACCAAGGCAACGAUGCAUAGCCGACCUGAGAGGGUGAUCGGCCACACUGGGACUGAGACACGGCCCAGACUCCUACGGGAGGCAGCAGUAGGGAAUCUUCCGCAAUGGACGAAAGUCUGACGGAGCAACGCCGCGUGAGUGAUGAAGGCUUUCGGGUCGUAAAACUCUGUUGUUAGGGAAGAACAAGUACAAGAGUAACUGCUUGUACCUUGACGGUACCUAACCAGAAAGCCACGGCUAACUACGUGCCAGCAGCCGCGGUAAUACGUAGGUGGCAAGCGUUAUCCGGAAUUAUUGGGCGUAAAGCGCGCGCAGGCGGUUUCUUAAGUCUGAUGUGAAAGCCCACGGCUCAACCGUGGAGGGUCAUUGGAAACUGGGGAACAUUGAGUGCAGAA